UGCAACUUUAAUUGAUUUUUAUAUUUAUCUGUAUUUUUUGCCAUAGCUUAUUGAUGACAUAGUUUUAAUAACUGAAUAUAACAAAAUAAGUUAUAGAAAAAUAUCAUUAUCAUUUUAGUGUCCUUGUUUCUUUCCUUGUAUGGGCUGGAUGUUUCUUAUAAUGCCGUGUCUCUAACAUACACUUGAACAUUUUUUUUCCUGAAAUGUAGCUUUUUCAAAUCAUCUGAAACUCACUCUUUCCAAGUUUUUAUUUUUCUACCUCUACCUUUUUCUCCUGAAACUUUUAACUUUUUACAUGUUGAUAACCAGUCAUCUGCACUUUUUUACAUGUUGAUAACCAGUCAUCCUUACGCUCUACAUGCUCAAACCACCUCAAUCUUCCCUGAUGCACCCUAUCAGAUACACUCACCAUGCCUAAUCUUUUUCUUAAAUCAUCACUGCUUUUCUUGUCUUUUAGAGUCACACUGCACAUCCUUCUAAUCAUCAUCCUUUCUAUCCUUUCCAAAUGCUGAACAUCAUCAACCUUGAUUGCUUUUAGUUUCUUUUUCAUUCAAUUAAUUCUUAGUAGCCCCUCCCCCUCCCCUCUUUAAUGAUAGAGACCUAACUCUGACUUACUCUGAAGCAAAUCUUACUCUUGGCCUAGAUGCUUCUUCUGCUCUUCCAGCUGGUCCAAUUGUAUCUCCAAGAUAAAAAAAAUUUAAUAACACACUCUAUCUUUCCUCUACUUUUUAUUUCAACCACUUUUUUAACUUACUCUAUACUCACCAAAAAUACAUUUUCUACACUCAAAAUCAACAAUCUUAAAAGAGCCUUGUACCACCACAUCUCUUAUGAACCAAUUGCCUACAAACUGUCUAAAUAAUAAAAUUUUCUUUAACUCCAUACCUACACACUCCACAUGACACUCCACUUCCUAGUAUUUUUUGCUUGUUCAUUCUUGACUGUACAGUGCAUAACUUUUGUUUUAUUCAUGUUUAUCUUGAGCCCUUUAGCUUCAAUUCCAUCUUUCCAAAUUUCAAAUCUUAAUACUAAUUCCUCUUCUGUUUCUGUUUUCUGCUAUCAGACACAAAUUAUCUGCACAGAAUAACUCCCACGGUAAACCAACUCUGAACUCUUUAGAGAGAGCUUCUAAAACAAUAAUAAAAAGCAAAGAACUAAGUACUGAACCCUGAUGCACACCAACUUUUACUUUAAAACUAUCAUUCUGUCCAUCUCUUGUUUUGAUUGUUGUUGUGACAUUUUCAUACAUAGCCAUGAUGACUGCCACUAGCCAUUCUUGAAUACAUAAACACUAACAAUUAUAAAUUAAUACUUCUAUGCAAUGUUGUUAUUUAAAGGAACUAUUUCUGCGAUACAUCAUAAAUCAUGAUGAGAGAAGAAAAAUAUUAGUAGCUUGCCAUGUUCAUCCUACUUCUGGCUAUAUGGGUAAAACAAGGACAUUAGGCAGGGUAAAAGAGCGUUUCAUGUGGCACGGAAUGGUAAAAAAUGUCCAUGAGUUGCUUAUAUCAUGUGAUGUAUGCCAGAGAAUGAAUAGAAAGUUAAACUGUGGAAAACCAGAGACGCACCCAAUAAAGGUAAAAGCUCCAUGGUAUAUGGUUGGCAUAGAUUUUAUUGGCCCACUCAGUCCAAUUAGUGAAGAUGGUUGUAGAUACAUUUUAACUAAUAGCCACUAAAGACAAAAUGGCAGUUACAGCGGCAGGAUGUCUGUUCAAGGUUUUCAUGAGGUUGGGAAUGCCAAGAGUUUUGCUGUCAGAUAAUGGGACUGAAUUUUGCAAUGAACUUACUAAUACCCUUAAUGUAUUGCUUGGUAUAAAGAAAAGGCUCACAACUCCAUAUCACCCACAAUUCUACUUUUCGUUUAAAUUGCAUUGAACUACCUACUGUUGAAAUAUGGUUUCAAUUUG